UCCGCCUGAGAACUACGAGCACAAACGCUUAAAACUCUAAGGACUUGGCGGUGCCCCAAACCCACCUAGAGGAGCCUGUUCUAUAAUCGAUAACCCACGAUACACCCAACCACUCCUUGCCAGCGCAGCCUACAUACCGCCGUCGCCAGCUCACCUCCCCUGAGAGCCCAACAGUGAACACAACAGCCUUCACCCGCUAACAAGACAGGUCAAGGUAUAGCCCACGGAGUGGAAGAAAUGGGCUACAUUUUCUAAAAUAGAUAAACUACGGGAGGGGGUGUGAAAUCUCCCCCAGAAGGCGGAUUUAGCAGUAA
rnacentral:rRNA from 1 species